rnacentral:lncRNA from 1 species
UUGAACACUCGUUCUAAAGGAACACUAAAGGCAAAUGUUAAGUCAAGCUAAAUUGAUAUAUUAGUGCUCGAAAAUCUCUAAGGUGUCAAUAUUAUCGCAAACAGAGCCUUAGUAAUUGAAGUAAAUGCAGGACACGAUUAGAGACUCCCCCGGGAAUUUCAAGCACUUGCCCGAUGACGAAGGCACUCUUCAUUUAAAUUCUGUCACUAGUAGUACUCAACCACUCGUUAUAAAGACAUCAUUGUAUUGCAUUAUAAGACGAAAGAAAAUGCCCAUUUCUAUUUCACUUUUAGAAAAAAUAACUCAUUGACAUUACCCUUGACAACAACGCGGGCGGU